UGUUCCAAGACAUUACUACUCUAUUGCUUGAUCCUAAGCAUUUAAGGACACAAUAGAUUUUUUCAUUGAGCGGUACAAGGGAAAAAACAUUUUUGUUGUCGUUACUGUUGCUUUUUUUUUUCUAGCAUGACAAUAAGAAGGAUAUGAACAUUUUCAAUGCAGCUUGGUAGCUAAUGUUUUUAAUUUUAUUUUUUGCUACUUCAGGUAUUAUGUUCCAAGACAUUACUAUGUUCUCAUCUCAUACACUUUGUAGUGGCCCAUGAUUGCUCUAUAGUGUGCUAUUGAUAAUGUUUAAGUUUCUCAAAUGCCAUUAUUGGUUUAUGCAAUUGAUUUAAUCUAAAUCUGUAGCUAUUCUACAGUGGCCAAACUCUUCUUUUUAAAUUAUUUGAUAACCAUGUUUUAAGUGUACAUUUAUAUUGUCUUUAUAAUCUUCUACAACAACCUCCUUCUCCUUGGAUGAACCAAAGGCCUCCACUUGAUGUCAAUGUUGGUGAGUUUUAUUUAAAAUCAGGAUAAAGUGUUUAAUCAAAUCGCUUUGCAGUAAUGUAAUGAUGGUGUGGAACUGUAGCUUAUGUGGAAGGGAGGGAUGAGGAGGAACUUCUAAUACGCAGGUAAACAAGUCAAUUAGGUCUGAUAGAAGAAUGCUUCCUUUGUUGUCAAAAUUUGAAGCGACCUCAUCAUGGUAGAGUUAUUUUAUAAAGCUAGCAAACAUUGUUACUGUUGUUGCAAAACAUUUUAUAGGUAUUUUGGUCUAGAAUGUCAAACUUGAGCUUAAAUCCAUUACAUUUAGAUGUUAUUGAUGCUUUAAAAAGAUCCAGGACUUCUUCACGAUGCCAUGGAAGUUAAAACGCAAUGAUUUGACUUCUCAAUAUAAUGUUGGUGGAUAUAUACCUCAACAAGAUGGAGCUGGGGAUGCUGCACAUGGAGUUUUUGAAAUUGAGGAACUGAUUCACACACAACUAUGAUUUAUGGCCUGGGUGUUGCUGGAUGGGGAGUUGGUGGAAUAGAAGCAGAAGUUGCAAUGCUUGGCCAGCCCAUGAGCAUGGUCCAACCAGGUGUUGUUGGGCUCAAAUUAUUAGGAAAACUACGAGAUGGUGUCACAGCUACUGACUUGGUGUUGAUUGUUACACAAAUGCUAAGAAAGCAUGGGGUUGUUGGCAAGUUUGUACGGUUUUUUUCCUACUCUCUCUUAGUUUGUGUUGUUUAUUUGUUUACUUUAAUUAUUAUUAUUAUUGUUGUUGUU